rnacentral:lncRNA from 1 species
GCCAUCUCUCCAUCUUCUAGGUAUUAGGCCGGGCCUGGUUAAUGGCAAUCCACUCUAUGAUUUAUAACAUUGCACUAUAACAUUGCAUUAAAAAAUAUGAUUAUAUUCUAGUUAGACCAAGAGCAACGAGGGUGUUAAACUUUUGUUUUCAACUGUGUAAUUAAUGCAGUGAGCCUAUUGAAUUUUGUAAAAAUACAUAUGGAAUUAACUUAGUUGAAUAUAUUCAACCAAUUGAAAGAAAAUGAGAUUGGUCCAAACCCGCCACAUGGCAAACUAUAAGAAGAGAAAAAGUUGGCACUCACCCACAUCAUAUGUUUUUUAUUGGUUGGCAAAUUUGUGUAUUUUUUUAUUUCCACCAAAUUAUUGAAUAUUAAUUAUUUUGUGUUAAACUAUUUUAAAAAAACACAAACUACACAAAAAAUUAUAUAUUUUUUAUUAUCUAGUUAUAGAGUCUAGACUUAUUUGUUUGGAUAUAAAAACAUCAUUUUAAUACAAUUUUCUGAUUAACUUUUAACCAAUUUCGUGUAUUUAAACUUUUGUGUUGAAUAUAU